rnacentral:lncRNA from 1 species
ACCAUCAACCCUGCUCCUGCCACCCGUAACACCACCACACCGAGCAUCCACAGUGCUCCCAGCACCCUUGUCCCUAAAUCCACUUCUGCACCCGCUACCACCACAACCACAGAAAUGACCCUCCCUCCCCACAAGCCCUCCCCGACUCCUAACUCCAGUGUCUCCACCCAAGAGACUGUAGUCUCCUCCACGGCCAAGACUACAACGUUGGCUUGCAAGACCAGUGCCCCUCCAGCAUUUCUUGGCUCCUCUUCCACCACCACCAGCAGUGAGACCACUAAAAACCCACCUGCAGGUGUGCCAGAGCCACCAAGACCAACACCUGGUGGAUACAUCAACCUGCAACCUGAAGCUGGAUCAGGAUCCAGACUCUCCUCCUGCCUGGUGCUCGUACUGACGACAGCCUCACUGCUGCGAGGGCUUCUCUGACACGGCCACCUCCAGCCCCAAACUCACUGGAUCCCUCCUUUCAUUUCCACCAUCCUGCAAAAGAACGGUGCUGGCAAAUUCUCUGUGGAACAGCAGAAACCCAGGAAAGGAAUAGCAUUUGGCCAUUUGAUACCAGCACAGAAUUUGCUUAUUAAUUUUGAGGCUGGGCAGUGAAAGGAGGAGAGAUAUUUUUCCAACCCAAAGAAGCCCAAGAGGUACUUGUUAGCUAGUUGUUCUCUGUAAUACAAUCACCAGCAGCACUGACUGGUCUGACAAUGCAGACAGCGGGCACAGUUCUGCCAGCUCGACUUGCACUUUUACUUCUAAGCAGUCCCACUGGGAUCUGUUGAAACAGUGGGACAAACUCAGGGAUUUGAGUUACUGGCUAUUGCAGAAGUAGCAGAAUAUGGCCCAGCAACAUCUGCUCAGAGAUCCAUUAAAUUACAUUUAACUUGUUUUAUGAACUUACGAGACUUAGGAUCAAGAUUUGUUCAAGCUACGCCAAGCCUAGUUUAAGGGGUGAUUAACUGAGGAUAGUUUGUCUUGAUUACUGUUGCAAUGCUCUAUAAUAAAACAUCAAUCAACUUUUUUUUCCUAAUCA